UUGAUAAUUGGGAUAUUCGUUUAAGAUAUCUAUAUACAUAUGUAUAUUCUAGUAUUAACAAUUUAACAUUCUAACAUUUAGCAGAGUAUGAAAUUACUAAUAUCUAUGAAAAAAGAGAAAUAAAACACAGAAAACCAUCUUUACAUAUCAACAAGGAAGGGAAUAGUUGGCUUCAACCAAAUCGGUAACAGUAAAAAUCGGUAACAGUAGUGUAUCUCCGGUUGAUUAGUCAGCAGGUAAUAGGAGACUUUUAACUAUGGCGACUGUUUAUAAAAUUCCCACACGAUGUCUCCAAGGAGAACACGUAUGCAAGGGCUGUAAAUUUUAUUUAAACGAAUUUAUAGAAAAAGUGGUCAAAGGUGCGUUCUGGAAUCUCACAAGAUUUUUAAAUCAUAAUAAAAAUUCGAUAGUCAAUAUUCAUAUUUUUUAUAUCAUUAGGAACAGAAAUAUUCAUAUUAUUAAAAUUAUUAAAAAAUGUA
rnacentral:lncRNA from 1 species